UAAGAAUAUCAUGUCUUUUGUAUUAAAGAAUUAAAUGGAUGAAAUAUGAAGUUUUAUUAAAAGAAAAAGGGGUGAAAAGAACAAAGUUUUGUCCAUCUUUGUUCAUCAUAGCUGAAAGUUAGAGAAGAGAAAGGAGAGGAGAAAGCUCUUGAGUAUUCGGUCAUUAGGAGGAGGAAAAUUGAAGGCGGUUCGUGUGUGGAUCUCGUCAGCAUAUCGUCGCAAACAGGUAAUCCCCAACCAUAGUGGGCUUGGAGCUGUGAGGGAAUUCGGAGUGGCCACCCGUUCUGAAAGUUUGAUUUUCUUCUGGUGAACUGGACAUCCUUUUAAUUACGUUUGAGGUUGUGGGCUUUUAAAUGUAAUAAAGCCGCUUAUUUAUUUUUGAUGGUUUUUAAUAUGUAUUACUAAGAUAGGUAAUACUUAUUCUAACUGUUGAAAUUGGAUAGCUUUAGGGCGCGUUUUCAAAAACAACAGUUGAUUUCAAAAUAACACGACAACAAGUAAAGCUUCCGCAAUGAAA